CGGCGCUGGCUCCGGCCGAGCCCGGGGAGGGGACGGGGACGGGGAACGGUGCGGCCGGCGCUCGUCCCCUCACCCGGUACUACCGCCACUUCCGGCUUCCGGCCACCCCGCCACGCUAUACGCAGCCGCGCCGGGGUGGGGCGGGGCGUACGCGCGGCGCCGCCGCCGCCUUCCGGUCACGGGACCGGGGCGGGAGCGCGGUGGCGGUUGGUCGCCUCAGGGCGGGUUAUGGCCGCCUCAGGCUGAGGGGCUGUGCUCUCCGCUUCUUUCCCUGUCCUUCCCUCAGCCGGCUCUGUCAGCUAGCACCGGGGAAGGGCCGGGCUGGGUUGUGCAGCCUCUGGGCCGGACGGGCAGGCCGCUUGCUUGGCGGGGGCGGGGGCGGGGGGGAGGCCCGGGCUCGGCCGCCUGAGGGGUGAUGUGGAAGAGCCCCUGUCAGCAGUAGGCCCAGCAGUGGAGAGCACAAACGCCAAGCACACAUGCCGUGGGGUUGGAAGAUAACGGAUGGGAAAGCGGUAGGACGGUGGCGUGAGGGGUUUGCUUUGGCUUUGGUGGCUGCGCGGCCCCAGCCUGGAAGCGCCGGCAGGUAGAAGUGAUUUCCUGCGGCAGCAGUGUUGGCUCUUCUCUAUCAAUUUACAAAGAGAGUAAGAACAGUAAAUUUUGCUUUGUAAUAUUUGAGGGCCGCUUAGUGGGUAUCUAGAGCAACUAUAGGAACUCGAGUGAGUUACUAGUGCAUUUCAGAGAGUGAGAUGUUAGCAAUCGUUAAGGAAACAAAGGAUGUUAGUAACUUUUUGAGGACAGAUACUGAUAUAAAAGGUUGUAGAUCUGAGGUGGAGAGAACUGUUGUAUAACUUUGAACUGGUUACACGUGCAUCUGCUUGAUAAUUCAUACUAUAGGAGUGUCAGAGCGAGCACGCCAAGCCACAGCAGUACCCACGUCUGGCUGCUGGUGGGUGGACGGAGAGCAGUGUAAGGACAGGGCAAGCAGAGGGUGACAUUUUCCCGGGGGACUCUCCAAGCAUCCAGAAAUUGGUGAUCAUCCCUGAUGCCAGGAAUAGGACGACAGCCAGCCCCCGAGAGCACCGCACGUGGAAGGCGGCGGGGGACCCUCCUUGCGAGACUUCUCGCUGCUGCUGUCUGGAAAGCUGUAAUACCAUCACAGGUGUGGAAGGGAAAUGGCCCAGCUUUGGCAAGUUUCCCCACAACAUAAAUGCCUUGUACGUAACAUACCGAAACAAAAUACCUGUGCUGUGCAGCUGGGUUGCCUUUGGGCUUUUCCAGUUCAACUCCAUUUUAGUAACUCUUCAGCUGGCCAGAAGGUGUAUUUUGGGGGCAGAAUGAGACGUCACUUAGGUUAAGUCAGUGCUAAGACCCUCCAGCCUGUCUCAUCUAGAAAAAAGGAACAGUGAUAAUUUUGGCAUUUGAGUCACUGUUAUUUGGCAUCUGAAUGACCUUCUCUUUGAGAUGAAUAAAGCUGUUGACUAAUCUCUGAACUAUCGGUACAGAACUUUUGCCUCUCUAAAAUGAGGAGUUUGCUGUAUCCUGUGUUUUUGAAAUAUGAAAAUGCAGUUGUUGUUUUUUUCCAGCCAAUAAAAUUGUAAACAAAAGGGUUUACCU
ensembl:lncRNA